AGUGAACGCUGGCGGUAGGCCUAACACAUGCAAGUCGAACGGCAGCACAGUAAGAGCUUGCUCUUACGGGUGGCGAGUGGCGGACGGGUGAGGAAUACAUCGGAAUCUACUUUUUCGUGGGGGAUAACGUAGGGAAACUUACGCUAAUACCGCAUACGACCUACGGGUGAAAGCAGGGGAUCUUCGGACCUUGCGCGAUUGAAUGAGCCGAUGUCGGAUUAGCUAGUUGGCGGGGUAAAGGCCCACCAAGGCGACGAUCCGUAGCUGGUCUGAGAGGAUGAUCGGCACAACUGAAACUGGGACACGGUCCAGACUCCUACGGGAGGAGGCGGUGGGGAAUAUUGACCAAUGGGCGAAAGCCUGAUCCAGCCAUACCGCGUGGGUGAAGAAGGCCUUCGGGUGGUAAAGCCCUUUUGUUGGGAAAGAAAGGCAGCAGGUUAAUACCCCGCUGUUCUGACGGUACCCAAAGAAUAAGCACCGGCUAACUUGGU
rnacentral:rRNA from 1 species